rnacentral:rRNA from 1 species
UACGUAGGUGGCAAGCGUUACUCGGAAUCACUAGGCGUAAAGCGCAGGUAGGCGGUUUGAUAAGUCUGUUGUGAAAGCUCCCGGCUUAACUGGGAGAGGUCAACGGAAACUAUUAGGCUAGAGUGUGGUAGAGGUAGCUGGAAUUCCCGGUGUAGCGGUGAAAUGCGUAGAUAUCGGGAGGAAUACCUAUGGCGAAGGCGGUUCUCUGGGACGGUACUGACGCUGAGACGCGAAAGCGUGGGGAGCGAACAGG